AGCUCUUCAUCUUCGUCUUCUGUAAGAUGUUGGUCUUGACUAAUAACUACAUUGGCCUCUGAAGGUCUUUCAUAAGAUGGAGGUUCUCGUGAUUGAGGCAUUUCUUUGAGGGAAAGCUCAAUAGCUCUUUUGAUAUCUUCGUCUUCAUUAUUAGUUACGGGUUUAGAGGGUGUCUUUCUAGUCUUCGCAUGGAAUUUCCUUUCAUUUCGCGCUCUUGAUUUGGAACCUUUGGGUUUCGUACGUAAUGAAUAACAACUGUCGCAUACCCUAACAGGCUGGUUAAUUCCAAGGUGAGGAAGAGAAAGUGUUUUUGAAGAACAUUGAUUGCAAAACACGCCACCGCAAUUUCUACAAUGGUGUUUACGAUUAGUGAAUGUAAAAGGUGUACGACAACGAAGACAAACUUCACUAUCUGUCCAAUCGGGCGGUGUUUCAGUAUCUAAAAAUUUGCUAGUAAUGUUCUGAGAAGGCUCAGGGAACUCAUAAUCACCGUCUUUUAAAUUUUGAUAAACAUGAAUAAUAUAACUAAGUGGAGAAUUGGUAUCUGGAACUGCCAAAGCCCAAGACUGAAUGUAUCGUAAAAUGACCAUUUUAACGUCUUCGUCUAUUCCUGCAGGAGAUCGUAGAAUAGAUACCAAAUUAUCCAUAAACUCUCUAGAAGCUAUUUCCAAUAAAAAACCGGAACCCCCAUUUUUAACGCAGGUAUCUGUCAACUUCAAUGCCAUUAUUUGAACAUUCGGAUUCGAAUGAUCAAUUCGGGAUUUAAGAAUACGCAUAGCAAAUUUCGGAUCAACAGACUUACUACGUAUUUGAUCAGAAAUUUCUAAAUAUAAUGAAAUUUCUUCAGAGCCAGCAGGAAGCGUUUCCGAUGUAGCCUUUUCUAUGUCGGAAGCAAACUGAGAAUUGGAAUUCCACCACCGAGACAUCGUUAUGAAAAUAGAGAAGAAAAGAAAAACCGAAAUUAAGAAACAAAAGAAAUCUUUUUAUUAUUUGUAAGCUAAAUUGUCACCAAACAAAUAACCAAUGGCCUUCAAAAAUUCCUAAUAAACAAAAGCAGCAGGUGAAGUAUAACAACUUUGGCACAAUUCUUCUGAUUGUUUGAAAUUAUGGCAAAAUAAUGUAUUGUAAAUC